AUUUGCUUCGCUGUAGUUUAGAAGAGCGUUGACCUAUAAAGUUGGUGGAAAAUAACGAUCUCAUGAACAUGGAUGAGGGAUUCCUUGAGAUCUCAGCAAUAAAGAUACAGGUGUUCCCGG